rnacentral:rRNA from 1 species
UACGUAGGGGGCAAGCGUUGUCCGGAAUCAUUGGGCGUAAAGCGCGUGUAGGCGGUUCGGUAAGUCUGCUGUGAAAGUCGGGGGCUCAACCCUCGGAUGCCGGUGGAUACUGUCGGGCUUGAGUACGGAAGAGGCGAGUGGAAUUCCUGGUGUAGCGGUGAAAUGCGCAGAUAUCAGGAGGAACACCAAUUGCGAAGGCAGCUCGCUGGGACGUUACUGACGCUGAGACGCGAAAGCGUGGGGAGCAAACAGG